AUUGAACGCUGGCGGCAUGCCUUACACAUGCAAGUCGAACGGCAGCGGGGGAGAAGCUUGCUUUUCCUGCCGGCGAGUGGCGAACGGGUGAGUAAUACAUCGGAACGUGCCCUGUAGUGGGGGAUAACUAGUCGAAAGAUUAGCUAAUACCGCAUACGACCUGAGGGUUAAAGUGGGGGACCGCAAGGCCCCAUGCUAUAGGAGCGGCCGAUGUCUGAUUAGCUAGUUGGUGGGGUAAAGGCCUACCAAGGCGACGAUCAGUAGCUGGUCUGAGAGGACGAUCAGCCACACUGGGACUGAGACACGGCCCAGACUCCUACGGGAGGCAGCAGUGGGGAAUUUUGGACAAUGGGCGAAAGCCUGAUCCAGCAAUGCCGCGUGUGUGAAGAAGGCCUUCGGGUUGUAAAGCACUUUUGUCCGGAAAGAAAUGGCUCUGGUUAAUACCUGGGGUCGAUGACGGUACCGGAAGAAUAAGGACCGGCUAACUACGUGCCAGCAGCCGCAGUAA
rnacentral:rRNA from 1 species